UGAUUAAAACUUAUAUAUUAAUAUUUAAAGACCCAUCCCUAAUAUGCUAUUUUAUGAUGCUGCUAACUUAUUUAAACUAACCAAUUUAGACUAAUGGAUGAACACCAAGAAUUUGGACUUGGACCACAAAACAAUGCAUAGUAUAUUUGGAUUCUUGAUUAAUCAAUAAAUUUGAAGUUACAUGCAUGAUGAUUAUUUAUUUUUCGUCACAUGCAUGAUGAUUAAUUAAGAUGGCAAACUCCACGUGAUUAAUUAAGAACUUGGUGCGUCAUAAAUUUUUUUAAAAAAUAUCAGGGGUGAUUCGACUAACAAAAUACGACGAACCAGACAUGUUUUGUUUUUUUUUACAUUUGGAAUUUCGAAGUUAACUUUUAAGAACCCACUUGAUAAAUCAUAUGUACAAAUUAAUGAGAAAUUGUAGAAUGCCAAUAAAAAUUGUGAUAUCCAAGAAAACUAAGCAAAAUAUAUUUAUUUUCUAAGCAAAACAUGUACACUUUUUGAGCAAAAUAUGUUGAAACAGCAGCCAAGCGUAGGACUUUGAUUUCAGCUGAUGGAGAAGGAAAUUCAAAGUCAUAUCCAAUUUAUUAUGAUUAUCACAUAAUUUUAGCUGUAGGAUUUUCAGAUAAAAUUUUACCGAAAUUCUCGGCAUAUAAAUUUUUUAGAAAUCUACAAUCUGUUGUAAAGAUUUUAUAAAUACUUAUCUGACCAAGUCACUAGCUCGUCAAGGAGAUUUCCUCUUCAUAUUCAUUUUCAAAGACAAGUGUUUUGUUUUCUCAUCGCCACCUAAGAUGUAGAUAAAACAACAUAUUUUAUUUAUUUUUUCUAAAACCGCGUACAACAUGACAUGCCUAGGGAGUUCUAACAAUGGGAAAUGAGCAUUCAUGGGGGAUGGUUGAAGACAUUCCUCCUCAUUCUCCUACAUGUGAUGAGAUGUGCAUCAAUGGUAUUUUGUAUUAUGGAGCUUUUAUUGACACAAAUUCUAACUGAACCUGCAAUCAUGAGUUUUGAUGUUAGGUCUGAAAAGUUUCUUCUUAUCAAGGGACUCGUCAAUGCCGGUGUUAACUUUCUUACUUCUUAAGAGCUAAGAAGAUCUUAUGAGGGGCAGCUAGCUGUACUUUUUUUUGAAAAUUGAGUUAUUUGUAUGUUUGCCUUGUGGGUUUUAGAAGAUGUUGUGAAUGAGGAAUGGUCAUACAUGAGUUUUGAUUUCUCUAGUUUAGCUGGGUUGACAAGAGACUUGGAACUUCAACUGUUUAGUGCAGCCAACGCAUGAAAAGUUGUUUACGCACCAUUUUGUGUGUAUGCAUUGACAUAUCAUGUUGUUUAUUAUGAUCCAAAAAAUGAAUUUACUUUUGAAAAUUUGAGAGAGAAAGAAUUAUAGAAAAACUUGUUCCUAAAAACUCUCAACCUAGAUUGAAUAAGUAUUAUUUUCCACUUUUAGCAAAACACACUUACAAAUUGAAACAUCUUAGGUGGAUAAGAAACCAAACAAAUAGUCACAAAAAUAUCAAACAAAUUUUUUAAGAAUAAAAAGACUACUUUUAUGUAAAUAGACGUUAGACUCAAUUAAAAUAAAGGGAAGACACAAAUUUAUAUGGAUUUCAACUUUCAAUAACGUUAAAUGUGAUAUGAUAUGCUCAUGGCAACUAGGAUCAGAAUUCCAGUUGUGGCAACCACACAAAUUUCUGAGCUUCGCAGAAUCCGAAUCGGUGUUUCACCUCGUAACUUAGUCUUGAACGCCUAGAAGCAAACCAAAUCAAUUUAAGUUGUAAUAUU
rnacentral:sRNA from 1 species